rnacentral:SRP_RNA from 1 species
GGUCGGCCCCUCUGAUGACGAUAAGUUGUGAACCCGGUCAGGUCCGGAAGGAAGCAGCCGCAGCAGCCGAUUCGGGUAUCAGGGUCAGGCCGGCCGGA